AGGAGAGUAGCUCAGCUAGGCAGAGCAGCGGUCUCCAAAACCGCCGGUCGGGGGUUCGAUUCCCUCCUCUCCUGCCA
rnacentral:tRNA from 1 species